rnacentral:misc_RNA from 1 species
UGGCUCUCGCAUCGAUGAAGAACGCAGCGAAAUGCGAUAAGUAAUGUGAAUUGCAGAAUUCAGUGAAUCAUCGAAUCUUUGAACGCACCUUGCGCUCCUUGGUAUUCCUUGGAGCAUGCCUGUUUGAGUAUCAUGAAAUUCUCAGAGCAAGUCUUUUGUUAAUUCGAUUGACUUUGCUUCUGGACUUGGGGGUCUGCAGAUGUGAGUCUGCUCCUCUUAAAUGCAUUAGCUGGAUCUCAGUGAGCCUGGUUCCACUCGGCGUGAUAAGUAUCAUUCGCUGAGGACACCCCCUGAAAAGGGUGGCCAGGAGUGCAGAUGAACCGCUCCUAAUAGUCUAUUGACUUAGACAAGCAAAUAUCAAGAUCUGAUCUCAAAUCAGGUAGGACUACCCGCUGA